ACUCUUACUCUGGUGAUAACUAGUAUGAUUUUAAGUUUAAUUGCUGUCACAGUGAAAAGUGAAAAUAAUCAAAAGUGAAAAUUAGAAAAUUCCCAGAGUGUACAGUGAUUACAAUAUCCCAGAGGGAAAAUCAGAAAAUAUCCAGAGUGAAAAGUGAAAAUACCGGAGUGAAAAAUGAAAAUAGUUAGAGAGAAACGUGAAAAUGCCCCUGAGUGAAAAAUUAAAAUAGCUAGACAGAAAAGUGAAAAGUCUCAGAGUAAAGUGUGAAAAUACCCAAGAGUGCAGAAUGAAAAAUGAAAAUAGCUAGAGAGAAAAGUGAAAAUACCCAGAGUGCAGAGUGAAAAAUGAAUCGGAGCAGUGGUUUAGAUAUUAUGUGAGAUAUCAGUGUCCACAGACGACGAUAAACACAAGAUCUUACCUAAACCUUCAUUCAAUGACGCAAGCGUCGUGAGCCGUCUGGUUUAUAUAACUUUUGUCAAGCCCAGUGAAAGAGUUAGUGGAAAACUGACAGGUUGAACUUAUAUGAAAGACAUGAUGCAGCAAGACACAACGAAGAGGAAAGUGAACAUCGUUACAAGUACUACUAUUUAAUGCUUGUGUGUCUGUUCUGACGUUGGCCUCGGUUUUUGUUGUGAUCAGAAAUGUUUGCUGCACGUAAUUUGUUCAGACCCCUACGGGUGUCUACCCGGAGUCACUUUAGAAAUUUAUCGGCGGAUGUUCCGGUUGCCCCCAAGAAAAAGAGGCGCAUCCUCAGAGCAGUUGGCAAGACAUUAGGGGGGAUAGCUAUCGUUGUACCGGCUGCAGGUGGUGUUUACUACAGCAUAAGUGAUGACAUUACUCGGCGACAAAUUAGAGUAACUGUGGAAGGCAUUGGAAGGUUUUUCAGGUCACUUAAGGUUGGUGCAAUGAUCUCGUUAGACUACAAAUGGUCAACCUAUGGCAUGGAUGAAACAAGUGACGAGUACAUGGAUGCUCUCCGUGGUGCUCAUCAGCGUUCAGCAGAACGUAUUUUGAAAGGUUGU